AAUGAAGAACGCAGCGAAAUGCGAUAAGUAAUGUGAAUUGCAGAAUUCAGUGAAUCAUCGAAUCUUUGAACGCACAUUGCGCCCGUCAGUAUUCUGGCGGGCAUGCCUGUUCGAGCGUCAUUACGCCCCUCAAGUCCCCUGUGGACUUGGUGUUGGGGAUCGGCGAGGCUGGUUUUCCAGCACAGCCGUCCCUUAAAUUAAUUGGCGGUCUCGCCGUGGCCCUCCUCUGCGCAGUAGUAAAACACUCGCAACAGGAGCCCGGCGCGGUCCACUGCCGUAAAACCCCCCAACUUUUUAUAGUUGACCUCGAAUCAGGUAGGACUACCCGCUGAACUUAAGCAUAUCAAUAAGCGGAGGA
rnacentral:misc_RNA from 1 species